CGUCAUCAUCUGUGUGUCCAGCGGCGCAGAUUCGACACAUGCGUCAAACUUCACAAUCAAAACAGACAAAAAAACAAAUAAUGGCGGAAAUGAUUACAUUGAGAUAUGGCCUGGUGUGGAUUCUUUGGACCUUUUCCCAGACGUAUCAUCCAGACUAGACGCCAAAGGAAUCGGUCGAUGGCGAUGGCCAGCAGGGACAGUAUGGAGCUUUGGGUGAUGAUGACGAGAAGGCACGAAAUGAAGAGGCAAGUGUAAAACUGUGUGGUGAGACCCAGGCUGAUGACCACCGCCAGCGGGAUGACAAGAACGCCGACCGCUAUAUCGGCCAGCGCCAGAGAGACAAUAAAGCAGAAGGUCGGGUCUCUGAAACCCUGGUUCAUGCACACCACCAAGACCACCAGCACGUUCCCAAGCACUGAUGCCAGGGCGAUAGUGCUCUCAAUGGAGAUGUACAUCAGGUCCGUUUUCUCCCAACUCUCAGUUACUGUGACCGUUGACAUCUUGGGGAUCUGCAGCAGUUGUUCCUGUUCCAUUGGGUCUUCUACAAGAGUCUCAUGAUGUCCUCAAAUGCUGAGCUCGGAUGCCAUUAUGAAAAAGAGCACUCUGCAUGGACGUUCCUCUAAACAUCAUAUUUCACAGAAGAAUAAAUCCAUAUGGGUUUGGAUUGACAUUGAGCUAACACCCCCACCCCAGAGUGCACACGCCACGAACAAUCUGGGAACAAAGAGCCAUAAACCAACACGAAGAGGUUGGACUUCUUCAAGGUCAAAGACCUUUAAACUUUCGUUUGAAAGUCUGCGCGCCUCAAACCACCACAAACCACAACCUCAAACUUAACACAAAGACAACCAUAUACACUUGCAAGUAUAUUUCUUUAUCGAGCUUUCAGAGCAUUAAGAUCGUGUUUUUCCGUGUUAUCUUGUUAAAUGUUUGCAUAUAUAUACCCCAUGUAACGUUAGUAACUGUAUUUAGUCUGCCUUUAUUAAAUUCAUUGCAUUCAUUAAUUGAUUCAUGUCUCUUGCUCAUAUACAAGUCACUUUAAUGUUGCGAUCCCACACGCUUUAAAAGUAUAAAAGUACUUUAAUCCGUUUUAAUUAUGUAUUGAUAUACAAUUGAGCUCAUAUUUACAGGUCUGUUUAACGUGGUCUAUGCAAUUACUUACAAUCAAUUUGUGGUUUAUUGUCGAGGUACACAUGAAUGCAGAUGCACACUCUAAAAAAAU